rnacentral:lncRNA from 1 species
GUCCCGAGGCAAGGUCUCCCUAUCCGCAGAGAUGCUGAGCUCCUGUGCUUUCCUAGAAAGAGACAGACAGGGGAAUAGGUACUAAUCCGGGCUGAUUGGUGUUUGUCAGAUUAAAAAUGGAAAUAGCGCCUCGUGAGAUGGAUGCGAAGGUCUGUGAUCAUAAACGUGACAAAGUAACUAUUCCAGUGUGGGUUUUCUCAUCACGUGACACGUGUUUCCAAGAGCACAAGAAAGCUGAGUCUGACCAUCUGGCAAGGGGCGAGCUGCUGCGAGUCAUCCAGAAUCUCAGCCCUGCCUGCAUCCAGUCAGAGUACGUCCAGCAUUUCCUCACACAAAGCUGCCGAAAUCUGCCCCCAACUUCAAUCCCUGUUCACACAGGAAUAAAGCUUUUUCUCACACAA